rnacentral:rRNA from 1 species
UACGUAGGGCGCAAGCGUUAUCCGGAAUUAUUGGGCGUAAAGAGCUCGUAGGCGGUUUGUUGCGUCGGCCGUGAAAACCUGCAGCUUAACUGUGGGCCUGCGGCCGAUACGGGCAGACUUGAGUUCGGUAGGGGAGACUGGAAUUCCUGGUGUAGCGGUGAAAUGCGCAGAUAUCAGGAGGAACACCGGUGGCGAAGGCGGGUCUCUGGGCCGAUACUGACGCUGAGGCGCGAAAGCGUGGGUAGCAAACAGG